rnacentral:lncRNA from 1 species
GCAUGGUAAGAAAGAGCAGCAGGACUAACUGCUUGCUAGUCAUUGCCUUUUCUUCCCCAAACUCAGAAUUGCUAAGAGAAAACUAUUUAUUGUGAUGUACAAAACUUGGCUGUUAGACCACAGUAAAAUCUACAAUCAAAGAACUUCAUGGGACCAAAUAAUUCCAUUCCAGUUUUUAAAUUUUUCUAGAAUUGUUUUCUCAAAAGUUUUUUCUGUUUUGUUUGUUUUGUUUUGUUUUUUCCCUGUUUAAUAAUCAGCAUGCAGUCUUAUCAGAGGCUUCCUUUUGUGUGAAAAUAGGCCAAGUCUUCCAAAUGCAAAGAAAUCAAUUAUAAAUAACAUCAAAAACUUAAUUAAAUGUUAGACCACAGCCAUAGAAUUUAGAAGCAUAAUACAGUAUGUUCACACUUUGUCCAUAGAACUGGAAAGCAAAAAACAAAACAAAACAAAAACCAAACAAACAUGUUUCACAUCAGUCAUGUCUUGAAUUGUUCAGCUUUGAAUAAUGAAGGUAACCAGGAAGUGGAUUAAUCUUUUACAAAGAUGUAUUGAUUUUUUUAAAGGUUAUAUACACUUGAAAUUAUACUAUAAGUCCAAAGGAAAAUCUUAUUUGCAUAGCAUAAAAAUAAAAACCUAACAUUUAAGCAAUCAAUUUUUAAAAAAUAAAUGGAGUACUAUGAGAUGUUGCUGGUAUGUUUUUAUGGUUAUGGGCUCUACAAAUAGAAAACAUCGCUAGAUCAGGGACUUGAAUGCACUUUGCUUGUAUUGAGUAUAGAAUAGGAGAGAAGACAGUGUAUUUUAAGAAAUAUGAGAGAAAAUAAUGUGAAGGUUCUGCAGGCAUUGGGAUGGGAUGGGCGUUUGAUGUUGGUGUUACGGAAUUACAACAUGGCUCUCUGGCACUCAGAGCUCCUCAUUAGCUGUUUUCUUAGACUUUCAAAGUUAUAAAGUAUGAUUGCAAAACUAAUUUUCUUAUCAUAUAUACUAAAUAAGUUUUACUUCCUUAAAAUAGUGAAGAUAAGGCUUUACCCUAAUUUCAGUGGCCCAGCUUUUAUACAGAACCUUUUAGAACACCAAGUUUCAAAUCCCUGUUUGAAACUUUAUUUACAUUUCAAGUAUACUUGGAAGGUUAUCAUAUUUUCCUUUUAUAAUAUAAUUAAUUUGAGGAAGAAUACUUAUUCUGAGUAACCAUAAUUUAAAGGGGGGAAUUUUUGCCCACUUAAAGUGCAGAAGUAAAACAUUUAAAAUGAGUUUUUCUAACUCAGAAAUUAUGAAAUAUUAAUUUGAACUGAGUACUAUUAAUGGUGUAAGGGUCUAGCAAGAGAAAAAUGGAGUGUGCUCAAUGAAAUAAAAGUCUAAUAUUUAUGUUUUUAAAUGCUGUAUUUUAUAGUUACACUUUAAGGCAUUGUAUCAAGCUCUCUUUAUUUUCAGAAUAUAAUUUUAAACUACCAUCAGUAAAUGUAAAAGAAUGUGUGCCAUGGUAAGCAUGUUCAGAUUUAAACCUUUUUACAUGUGACAUGUGAAUGUCAUGCAAACUGGCAAAAGUUCUGGUACUAAAAGUUGUAUUUGUUUUUCUUCUACUUAACCUAUUCAGUACUGAAUCCUCUGCCAAGAGGGUCUCCUGGAAAAACUGGGUCCUUAUUGCCCUGAUGUCUACAGUCUAUGACAUGAAUGUUUUAAAGGGCUUCAUGUGAACUAUGGUAUUAUAGUUUAUCUAAGCAUUCUUUAAAGGGUCAUAAAAUUGUGUUUACUAUUGCUGAUCAGAAAAAUAAGGCAGGAAAAAAUUGAUGGCAUUCUUUAGAUUUUAACUAAAUGGAAGGCAGUCCCUUAUAAUAAAAAUUGUAUAGUAAGUAUGCAACACUAACUUAAUGUGUUUUCAGUUUAAAUUGUUAUGUAUUUUUUAAUUAUCAAGAAAAAAAACAGUUUUGUACAUUUGAAGAUUUUUUUUCAACAGCUUUCAUCUGUAUUGUCUUAACAUGGAACUUUAACACCCUUACCAAAAAAGAAAGUUGGCAAAAGCAGCCUUCUAGCACAAACACUUUUUUAAAUAAAUAAUGGUAGCCUAAAACUUAAUAUUUUUAUAAAAUAUUGUAAUAUUGUUUUGUGAAUAAUUAAAAUAAAAUUCUUUGUUGAAUGCA